UAAAUAAGAAGCAAACCUUUGCAUUUAGUUUCGACCUAAAAAUUUGAUUAUAAUUUAAUCCUUAUUUAU
rnacentral:tRNA from 1 species